UAAUACAGAGGGUGCAAGCGUUGUUCGGAAUUAUUGGGCGUAAAGCGCGUGUAGGCGGCUUUGCAAGUCGGGUGUGAAAGCCCUCAGCUCAACUGAGGAAGUGCGCCCGAAACUGCAGAGCUUGAGUGCCGGAGAGGGUGGCGGAAUUCCCCAAGUAGAGGUGAAAUUCGUAGAUAUGGGGAGGAACACCGGUGGCGAAGGCGGCCACCUGGACGGUAACUGACGCUGAGACGCGAAAGCGUGGGGAGCAAACAGGAUUAGAUACCCUGGUAGUCCACGCCGUAAACGAUGAGAACUAGGUGUCGUGGGUGUUGACCCCCGCGGUGCCGUAGCUAACGCAUUAAGUUCUCCGCCUGGGAAGUACGGUCGCAAGACUA
rnacentral:rRNA from 1 species